AAGUCUGCCUGCUGCUUCCUCAUAGGUGGAGUCCUGACUGGUUCCAGUAAACAGAUCACCUGUCUGAGCAUCCAGGAGUGGACUGGAAACUUUCUUCUUCUUCUUCAGCGCUUUGAAUAAAGUGUGAAGGUAGAAAGUGUGUGUGAGCUGCUGUGAGUUGAGCAUCAUGGAUGAGUGUGAGGACAGAGAGGAGGGAGUCCCUCCCUCUAAAAGCUCUCUGUGUGGGGAACAGGAGAACCAGAGCAAAGCUCAGAGGAAUCCACCUGGACCUGGACCUGGACCUGGACCUGGACCUGGACCUGGACCUGGAACUGGACCUGAACCUGAACCUGGACCUGCAUCCAGCUGUGUGUCCUUCAAGAGUGACCAGUCAAAG